rnacentral:misc_RNA from 1 species
CAGCAACGUCCAUCCGUGCAAACCUCUUCAUUAGUGCGACAAGGUCGGAACGUCCUUGAGCACCUGUUGGGUUCCCUGUGCUGCAUACCUACCCGAUGGUAUCGUAUCGUUGUAUCGAUGUCCCUUUUCAUCAUGUGUCGCUGCGCGGCAUGGGGUGAACCUCGAAGCGGUCCCUUCGAUCCAGCUCGUCGACGCGUAUGCGUCGUCGUAAUGGCUCGUUGGGCACCGCUUGGUUUCUCGGAUACGGAACCUCAUGUGGGUAUGGGGUCUUUAAGACCACGUGUUUGCCCUUAUYGAGCGUUCUCGCUUCUUUGAAACGACCGUCGGUCACGUGCUGACAUGCUCGUGCGUGGCCGUCGACGUCGAAG